rnacentral:rRNA from 1 species
GACGAACGCUGGCGGCGUGCUUAACACAUGCAAGUCGAACGGAAAGGCCCUGCUUUUGUGGGGUGCUCGAGUGGCGAACGGGUGAGUAACACGUGAGUAACCUGCCCUUGACUUUGGGAUAACUUCAGGAAACUGGGGCUAAUACCGGAUAGGAGCUCCUGCUGCAUGGUGGGGGUUGGAAAGUUUCGGCGGUUGGGGAUGGACUCGCGGCUUAUCAGCUUGUUGGUGGGGUAGUGGCUUACCAAGGCUUUGACGGGUAGCCGGCCUGAGAGGGUGACCGGGCUCAUUGGGACUGAGAUACGGCCCAGACUCCUACGGGAGGCAGCAGUGGGGAAUAUUGCACAAUGGGCGGAAGCCUGAUGCAGCAACGCCGCGUGCGGGAUGACGGCCUUCGGGUUGUAAACCGCUUUCGCAUGUGACGAAGCGUGAGUGACGGUAAUGAGUAAAGAAGCACCGGCUAACUACGUG